CAGCCGCCGCGGGAAAACGGAGGGAGCUAGCGUUGUUCGGAAUUACUGGGCGUAAAGCGCGCGUAGGCGGUUACUCAAGUCAGAGGUGAAAGCCCGGGGCUCAACCCCGGAACUGCCUUUGAAACUAGGUGACUAGAAUCUUGGAGAGGUCAGUGGAAUUCCGAGUGUAGAGGUGAAAUUCGUAGAUAUUCGGAAGAACACCAGUGGCGAAGGCGACUGACUGGACAAGUAUUGACGCUGAGGUGCGAAAGCGUGGGGAGCAAACAGGAUUAGAUACCCCCGUAGUCCCUGUCUCUUAUAC
rnacentral:rRNA from 1 species